AUGAGCUUUUAUAGCCUUCAUGAAACGCUCCAUCAGGAGGUCGCCAAAUACCAAUCUAGAUUCUUCUGGGCUGGGGAGGAGGGUAAGCAGAAAUACCACAUGGUCAGCUGGCCAGAUAUCUGCAAACCCAAGGACCAGGGCGGUCUUGGGAUUCUGUCCUCCCGGCGCAUGAACAUCGCCCUCCUGACCUGCUGGCUCUGGCGCAUUUCCAAUGGGGAUGGAGGCCUCUGGCUCACUAUCAUCUAG
rnacentral:rRNA from 1 species